AUGAGUGGUUCGUUUUUGCCUUCUUUGAUUUACAAAUUGCUAAGGAGCGGAGCAUGGAGCAGGGCUCUGAGUCGUGGUGGGGCAUGUCGGAGGGCUCUGGGUUAUGGCAGGGAAGGAGCGGAGGAACUGUGCAUCCGGGGAUGGCGUGACCGCCGAUCAUAUCCGUCGCACUGGUGCCUGACAGGUCAAAUGAUCAGCAAGGCAUGUGACAGCAUCUUCAGGCCCAACUCUCACUCUGCUGUCGCCCAUUCAACGCACUCGUCGAUGCUAGGGGUGGAUGGUUCUUUGAUGCUGGCACAACUGGAGACAGCAAGAAGCAGAGGGAGGGAGGCUAUCAUGUUGAAGAAGACGCCGGCACCCUGA
rnacentral:rRNA from 1 species